rnacentral:tRNA from 1 species
GCCUCCGUAGCUCAGCUAGCAGAGCGUGUGACUUGUAAUCACAAGGUCGCGAGUGCAAAUCUCGUCGGAGGCU